rnacentral:lncRNA from 1 species
AUCAGACCAUCAAUCCAGCUUUUCCUGCCAGCUGGGGAAACAACACUCGGUCACUAACAGCACCCAAUCACCUAGAGAGCGAGAGUGAGCCGAGGCAAACACGCCGGGUUCCAGACACCGUCCCAGCCCCCGAGACCCGGGUUUGCAAAGGGCUGCACACGUUCGCCGGAGGGUCGCUGCCGCCUCCGAGAAAGGACUUGAACCUGAGCCCGGUGAAGAAUCACUCACUCUGGAGGAAGCCAGACAUCAUGCUAUAAGGACCCUUUUGCAGCUGUGUAAGAGGCCAUGUGAAGGGCAGCCGAGGUCUUCUGUCAAUGCCAGCAUCAACUCAGCAUCAACUCGCCAGCCAUGCAUGAAGAGAAAGCGGGCUCAGAGAAAGGAGACAGAGGGACACAAAGAUGAGGGAGACCCCACGGCUCUGAAGGGUGGUGAGACGGCUCUGUUCCAGGCACUGUUCCUGUUGUCUGCAGGUCAGCUACUCUUCCUGCUCUCCAUUCUGUGGUGGUGUGAG